UUUGGAAUCUCAACAGAAUCCACGGAACAACCGGUCCAUCUGGAAAACUCGACAGCUGGAGCCUUUCAUUUGCAUAGCCUUGUUUCUCAAUUUAAUUUUUUUCAAGUGGAUGAAAUGCUUAUGAAAUUCACUGGGCGGAUAACCCUGGAGACUUGAAUCAUUCAGCCAGGAAACAGUAACUCAAGGCAGAUGGGAAGACCAUAUCCAGAAUGAAACUGAAAAAGUGCUUAUGUGUGCGUGGGACUGAGUACAAUGUCACAACUGUCAAACACAGAGGCCCAGCAUCCUACUCUUCCCAGUAUCCAGUCUCGAGCUGCAUCCAAACAUCUUGAUGGUCCUGUACUGAGGUCUCACAACUCAGCAGUGCCUUGUGCAGAUACAAGAAGCAGGGUUUGAUUCUUCCUAUGAGACCUCUAUUUCAAGCCUCAGCAGAAGCUAAAGAGUUGCUUUCAUGCAUAUUUUCAUCGUGCUCUCACAAGUCUGUGUUUAAAUAUCUCACAAGUUUUUAACUAUG